rnacentral:lncRNA from 1 species
AAUAAUUUAAGUAUCUAAAGUGUCCCUUUUCUGCAUUUCUCACCCAUCAUUAUAUGUCUAUACAAAAAUAACGAUUAAUUUUUGUUUUUUCUAGCUUGAAGUUUCAUUUUGAGGAACAUGGCUUGUAUCGACUAAACAUUUCAAAUAAUUCCUGUUCACCAGUUGAAGUCAUCGAACCCCCACACAAUAUUUAUUCCCCUUUUCUCCACUUGAUAGGAGCUUAUGUGAUCUGUUUGAUUCUAUACCAACUUUUUAAAUACUCUCAUGGCUUCCUUUUGUCUUGGCGAUCACGUAGCAGUUUAAUAUCCUCAGAAAUCAGAAAUGAUCUUGGCAGUGUGAGCAGUGGUGGAGACUCCGCUGUGUUACUCAGGACAGAACCCCCAACACCUCAGAAAAAAAAUAAAGCCAGGGUCAAAGCUCUUGACGCUUUUCGAGGGUAAUUAUCAAUAACUGCUUUGUCUAAUUUAUGCUCAUCAUUGAUACACGAAAUGAUGUUCAUUGCAACAGUUUCUUUUUUUAUUUUCAGGGAGGGUUUGUAAAAUUUUUGCCAUCUAGUUCCAUAGAAAAAUGUUGCGAAUCCUGAUUUUCUUGUGGGAAUCCAACCUUCUUCCAUUUGAAAUUUGAAUAAAGCACAUUUGGUAAUGCAUCAGAGUCUGGCGAAAUAUUUAAAAUCAACAGCUGACAGCUACUUUGUCCA